AAAAAAAAAAUUUAUGUCAUAGUUUUUUAUUUCUACCAUUUAAAAUAAAUGGUUUGCACUCUAUAAGACUCUAUAGGGAGUUUGCAUUGCUUUAAACCCGGUUGUCAUGGUAGCCUGGCUAGUAGAGCCUUGCUUAAGACUUGGCACGGAUUCAAGUACAAGAUUCUGACGUCAUAAAUGAAAAUGACGUCAUAUCUAGUGAUAAAUAGCAGCGCACUUCCGCCCAGCACUCAUUCGUCUGCUAGAUUUCUCGUAAAUCGCCCAAAGAUGAAUUCAUUUGGAAUUAGGCAUUUUUAUACGGAUGUUCCUAAUAUUCGAAGAGUGUUGGAGAUUGUAACAUACCAGUGGGAUGGGGAGAGCUACGUAAGGAUUUCUUCGGAGGCUGUGAGUCUGUUUCAGGCCCGGGAUGCUCCCCUGUCCCCCCUGGAGAGGCAAGGAAGAGAGCAGGACUUGGGGAGAGUUGACCUCUUGCCUCCACCGCCGCCGCCUCCCCCAGGACCCGUUCCUUCACUGGAGGACGUCGUUGCGAUGAUGGAGAGGAGGCAGCAGGAGCAGCGGCAGCAGCAGCAGUCAGCCCCCUCGACGCCGUCGCCUCCCCCACCGCCCAGAGUCAGUAGGGGACCGGCAGCACUCUUCCGGCGGGUCCGGAGUGUUGCCAGAAGGGCCAUUCCCUACCGGAGGGGUGGCCCGGGGGUGCGAUUUUCUUUGCCUCCCAGGUCUGCGGCGCCAUCGCCUUUUGUGAGCCCUCCUAGGAGAGUCCCGGCCAUUCGGCCGCCAGGACCGGGUAUCACCACCACCAGGGAGCCCAUCGUGAUUCCGGACUCACCGGAGAGUCCCGACCCCUCCCCACCUGCCAGUCCGGGGGGUUACUCUCCGGUGAGCCCAGGCUACAGUCCGGCACCAUCGCCGCCAGGGAGCCCUCUGCGACCAUCGCCAUACCGCCCUGCACCACCACCACCACCAGCUGCAGCGGCCUUGGGGAGAUCUCCAAGCCGACCGGUCCCACCCAGCCGUCCUGCCCCUCAGCUGCCCUCGGGAUUUGCCCGGACAGCAGUGGCCACCCGGGAUGCUGCAACCCAGCUUCGCACCAUUUUGAGAACGGCCACCCCUCCCCUGUACCUCCAUACGAGGAAGCCGGAGGAUCCGAGGCGGCACUUCACCAUCGUCCCCAGCUGGGGGGUGAAGGUGGCUGAGGAGGAGGAGAGCCGGGGGGAGUGUGUCAUCUGCUUCCGAGAAGACGCCCACAUGCAGAUCAAGUGCCGCAGCUGCAGCCAGCAGAGGGUAUGCUGCAAGUGUGUCCCGGGGGUGUACCGGAACAUGAACCCCUGCCCCCUGUGCCGGUCCUUCGGAGAGCAGUAGUGGCGACUGCUUACAAACAGCCCUUUUCAGGGCUAGCGCCACAGCCCUUUUAAGGGCUACCACCAACGGCCCUUUUCAGGGCAAAUAGAAAAAAUGUGUACAAAAAGAAAAACACAAGUGGUCACUUACAUGCACACACUUAAAUAGAAAAGGUGAAGGUUUUUUAUUUCAUAAGUGAAGAUGUAUUCUUACGAUACACUAGACCCUUUUAAAUUGAAACAUGAAUUUACCAUGGUGGUGGCGGGUCCUUCAAAAUCGGGAAAAACACAUUUUGUUAAAAAGUUAGUAGAAAAUAGACAUUGGAUUUCCCCUCCCCCCGAAAAAAUCAUAUGGUGUUACCAAGAAUGGCAACCCGCUUACGAAUCUUUACAAGAUCAAGUCAAGUUUAUACGCAAUAUUCCAGAAGACGACGAGAAAUUAGUGGCUGAUUUCAGUAUUCGUCACUUGUUAAUUUUUGACGAUAUGAUGGGAGGCAAAGCCAUCGAGUCUAUCGUCGAUUGGUUUACUCGCAAAGCUCAUCAUAGGAAUACCAGUGUGAUUUACAUUACUCAAAAUGUAUUUGAUCGAGCAAAUCAACAUCGUACUAUUAGUCUCAAUGCUCAUCAUUUGGUACUGUUUAAAAAUCCUCGAGAUAAAUCUCAAGUGACGGUGCUGAGUCGACAAUUAGAUAUGCCUCAUUUAAUGUCUGCUUAUCAAGAGUCUACUAGUAUUCCUCACGGUUAUUUGCUUGUAGAUCUCAGUCCACAAACUCCAGAUGAAUUGAGAUUAAGAAGUCAAAUGUUCGAUACCCUAAGUGUCUAUAUGCCUCGAGAAUAUAAAUAUUGAACACACGAUGAGUUACCUUCAUUUGGAUUGAGUUCAUCAUGGCACGACAAAACAAAGUGUUGAGACUUUUGAAACUUUUAUAUGGAGAAAAAGAUCCACAGAAAAGGCAGGAAAUCAUCGAAUUAAGCCGUAAAACCUUAAUGAAAUGGUUUCUGAUAGGAGCUAAGAAUUUACUGAAAGGAACUAUUCCUGUCGACAAACAGACUCAAUGGUUUAUUGAAAAACACCGGGAUGAUUUGAAAGUGAUUGCUGACAAAAAAGUCAACGAAGAUAACAGAUUGAAAGCCGUAUUGAAACGAGGAGGAGCUUGGUUUUUAGGAGGGGUCAUCAUUCGUAAUUUAUUGAAAUGGAAUUUGAAAAAAGAAAAAAUGGCUCAGCCUGGAAAGAGCAAAUCGAAGAAAGCCAUCAAAAAGAAAUUAAGCAAAAAAGAUUUUGUGAAGACUCCUCCCCUUAGGAAAGACUUGCCUGAUUGGGUUCAGGAGCAAGUAGACUUGUAUCGUCAAGAUCAAAAUCAGAAAAAUCAAGGUGAUUUAGAAGCCACUCUUCCCUAUGCUGAGGAUGAUACCCCAACUUUUCCCAUUAUCAAUGCUAGGGCUAUCCAGAAAAUGGAUAGGGCCAUGCAAGGUCCUAUAGGAGCGGCCAGAACCUCAGAUAAUGUAAUGACUUCUACCCCUAUUAAAGCAACUCAAGCUCCCUCUUUGUUUGAUGAUGUCAUUACUAUUGAUCAGUCCCCUAUUAAAGCACCAUCUACCCCUACACUCUCGAAAAAGUCUC
rnacentral:sRNA from 1 species